UUUCUCGAGAAUGGACAGAGAGAAUGCUCAAAGUUUACCUCCGUAAAUUUAUUUGCGACCAUAUAUCGUACACGCCAUGAUUUAUCCUGGUAAGGAUGAAGAGAUUAUACAAUACGAUCAGAAAUUGUUCAUUUAAAAAGUUAUCGUUCACGCCGUAGAGACAAAUUAAAUUAUACCUGAGCAGCUGUUCUUAACAUUGGCAUAACUAAAGCUUCCACAUCUUCAGGAGGUUGUUUUUAAAACGUGGAAUAAAAGGGAAUGAAUAGUAAGGGUCGUAAUAGAAAAUUGCAGAAUUGUGAAAAAAUUUUUUUAAUAUCAGGAAGAAAAUAAAGAAAAGUAUGUAGUAAUUAUCUCUGCGAGGGAAAUGUCAAGAAUGAACAAAAAUAUAAAAACGAAAGCAAAAUGAAUAAAAAAAGAUUUAGCUAAUUUCUUGAAAUCAACACAGCAAUUUCACUUUGGUAUCAUUAAUAGACAGAGUUAUUAACGUUAAUUCGGUCUUUACCUAUAAUUUACAAACUCCUUCAAAUCAUGAUGAAUAUUCAAUACAUAUUUCUUCAAGUGCCUACCUGUUCAUCUGCAGAAAGGUUUGUAAAUGUGGGUAUAAGAUCAGAUUUGACAAAUUCCAGUUCCACAACUUUAGCGAAUUCCUAUGCAAUGAUAACAUAGUCAGCUCAGUAAAUUGUUCAACACAAAGAUGGAUCCACAAUAGUUUUGUACAAGAGGGAGGUAAUUUAGUUGGGAUUAGAAUUUAAUAGAUACUUGUUACCAUAGCAACUCAGACUUCUUUGCUAAAUUUUUAAACCUUUUUUUAAGAUUGAGAAAUUUUUGUAAGUGUGCUCCAUCAUACACUAUUCACAAUUGUUAGAUGUUCCGUAUAUAUUAAUAUUUUGUGUGCUCUGUUGAAGCCUUCCCUAAUCCAUCUCUGGUUUAGUAAAUGUCCAGGCUUAGAAAGGAUUCAAAAGGGAAAAGCAUUUUGUUAUUUGUUUUAAUUUACCUGCUGCAAGAUUAAUGCAUGAAAAUAUUAUUGGCAUUAUGAUAAAUAUU